GCAACUUUUAAUCCUGCAUUGAUCUGCCUGGGAACAGCAUUGGUAAUGUGUGGGGUUGUGAUCUCUGUUCAAGCUGUUUUACUCUGUAAAAGGAAAAACUGUGUACAGUGCAAAGAGAGAUUUCAGCACAGUGCUGUGAUAAACACUAAGAAGAUGAACACUCAGGACCGUGACUCUGUGGAGCUGAAUUACGCUGCCUUACACUUUAAUGAAAGGACAACUAAAAGAGUGAGAGAAAAUCGAGGUCGCCCUCAACACAGUGUGUACGCUGAAGUGAAAUGUUCCAGCGUUACUUAAAAUACAUUCAUACAGUCUUUUAUUUUAUUCCGUCACUGAAAUUGUUAAAUAAUUUAAUGUACUUUAGUUUUUCUGCUCAUGGAUAAGGUUUGUGUAGUGGUCUGUGCUGAAUCUAAUUUUGAUUUAAACACUUGGUGAACUCAAAUCGCAUUAGUUACUUGAGAAAACAUGAUUUAAUUCUGUGUUCAUGAAAUGAUGAUUAUCUCAUGACUACUUCUACACAUGUAUAUUUGUCUGUAAUGUAGACUUUAUGUGAUGUGGAAAAGAUCUGCUCGUCAGGAAACACCUGAUUGAAAAGCUUUGAUUUAUUUUCAGUACCGAGUAUCACAAAUUAUUCUUGGCCAUUCACUUUGUUU